AACAAGUAAGAAGCAAUCCGCAUUAAACACCGGCGAUAUAUUUAAAACCUUCAUCCCCAUCUUCUUCCUCACCCUCCAACACUAUGGACUAGAGAUUUGCGUUAUAUCCUUCUCCCCCAAAAUCUCCUCCGUAAUUUCUCUCUUUCUUCCCCUAUUUCUUCAAACCCAGAAAAACCCAAAAACAAAAACAGUAAAACUCUACCUCUUUAUAUACUUACAUCACAGAAUCUCCCAUUCAAUUCAAAAAUCCCCAUCUCAUAUUUUCUCUCUCCUCUAAUCUCUCAAAAAAUAAAAAUGAAACCCACCCCAAAACUCAUCGUUUUCCACCCAUCAAUCUACAAACCAACCACAUCAUCAUCAUCUCGUUUAUGGCUUCUCGCAUUCUUCACUCUCUUCACUUUCACAUUCUUCCUCACUCUCUUCAACUCCACUACCACUACUCAACCACCACCGACCACCACCACUUCAACCACCACGACCAAAUCUCCACUGCACUCCUCCACUACGCAUCCAUCUCAAACACCACCGACCACAUGACACAUGUCGAACUCUCAACCAUCGCAUCCUCCUUACGCCGCUGUCCGCAACCGUGUAACUUCCUCGUAUUCGGACUUACCCAGGAAACACUCCUCUGGCGUGCACUCAACCACCGCACUGUCUUCCUCGACGAAAACGAAUACAUGAUUUCCAACUACGAGAAGAAUUUCACUGACUUCGAAGGGUACGAUGUUCAGUACACUACUAAAGUAAGCAACUCAAAACAUUUAGUUGAGUACGCUAGAAUACAUCGUACAGAUGAGUGUCGGCCUGUACAGAAUCUUUUGUUUUCCGAGUGUAAGUUAGCGAUUAAUGAUUUGCCGAAUCAUUUGUAUGAGAUUGAGUGGGAUGUUAUCUUGAUUGAUGGUCCACGUGGAUAUUCUGAGAAAAUGCCUGGAAGAAUGGCGGCCAUUUUUACUGCUGCUGUUAUGGCGAGGAGUAAAGGAAGAAGAGGAGAGAGAAAAGUGGGAAAAACUGGUGUUACUGAGGUUUUUGUGCAUGAUUAUGGGAGAGAAGUUGAGAGGAUUUUUAGUGAGGAGUUUUUGUGUCAAGAGAAUUUGAUUGAGGUCAAAGAUUCUUUGGCUCAUUUUGUUGUUAAGGAGAUUCAUGGGGAGAGUUUUCAGUUUUGUACAGGGGAGACUGGUGGUCAUUCUAGUGUUCGGAAAAAUUGAUAGGAAUAGUCCCAAAUCUCGCGUUUUUUAAACUCUUGGAGAUCUCUAUAAUUUUAGAUUUUUUUUUUUUGAAAUGAUGGAAAUUUGGGGUUAUUUGUGUUGAUUUUAUUAUAUAAUUAUAUUAAGAUAUAAGUUAAGUAAGAAGCAAAUGUUGAUAAUUAGUAGUAUGUUAGUGAAGUAUAUUUAGUAGUGCUAUUGUAAAAUUGUGAAAAUUUGAAAUGGAAAUGCACAAUUUUGCAGUGGGGCCAAAAGAUGCGAAUGUGUACUUUUGGUAGUGGUGACAAUAGAAAUUUGGUUUGCGUCAUAUUUACAGGACUAUGUUAAUCUGAUAAUGUCUCCGUAAUUUUUUU